rnacentral:snoRNA from 1 species
CCCGCCUGAAAGUCGCCCCGGCCGUGCCGUGGCCGCGGGUGAGACUCGGCGCCUACAGCCACCGGGGCUUUCAGCUCGCCCCCGCUGCCUCGUGCGGGGGGGGCAUGAAACACAGGCCCCGACAGUG